rnacentral:rRNA from 1 species
GACGAACGCUGGCGGCGUGCUUAACACAUGCAAGUCGAACGGUAAGGCCCUUCGGGGUACACGAGUGGCGAACGGGUGAGUAACACGUGGGUGAUCUGCCCUGCACUUCGGGAUAAGCCUGGGAAACUGGGUCUAAUACCGGAUAGGACCCUGGGAUGCAUGUCCUGGGGUGGAAAGCUUUUGCGGUGUGGGAUGGGCCCGCGGCCUAUCAGGGUGUUGGUGGGGUGAUGGCCUACCAAGGCGACGACGGGUAGCCGGCCUGAGAGGGUGACCGGCCACACUGGGACUGAGAUACGGCCCAGACUCCUACGGGAGGCAGCAGUGGGGAAUAUUGCACAAUGGGCGCAAGCCUGAUGCAGCGACGCCGCGUGAGGGAUGACGGCCUUCGGGUUGUAAACCUCUUUCAGCACCGACGAAGCGCAAGUGACGGUAGGUGCAGAAGAAGGACCGGCCAACUACGUGCCAGCAGCCGCAGUAACAC